CUGCAAUGAUUCCCUUAACAACUGUGGCAAGAAAGGUGGUAAAAUGGGGCAAAACUCACUUAACAUAUGUCUCACAGCAACAGAAUGUAGGGCUCAGUUGGGGUCAUAGUCAAGUACUACCCUGUAAUGGACUCUGUGUUGA